rnacentral:rRNA from 1 species
GACGAACGCUGGCGGCGUGCUUAACACAUGCAAGUCGAACGGAAAGGCCUCUUUCGGGGGGUACUCGAGUGGCGAACGGGUGAGUAACACGUGAGUAACCUGCCCUUGACUUUGGGAUAACUUCAGGAAACUGGGGCUAAUACCGGAUAGGAGCUCCUGCUGCAUGGUGGGGGUUGGAAAGUUUCGGCGGUUGGGGAUGGACUCGCGGCUUAUCAGCUUGUUGGUGGGGUAGUGGCUUACCAAGGCUUUGACGGGUAGCCGGCCUGAGAGGGUGACCGGCCACAUUGGGACUGAGAUACGGCCCAGACUCCUACGGGAGGCAGCAGUGGGGAAUAUUGCACAAUGGGUGGAAGCCUGAUGUAGCAACGCCGUGUGCGGGAUGACGGCUUUCGGGUUGUAAACCGCUUUCGCUCAUGACGAAGCUUUGUGUGACGGUAGUGGGUAAAGAAGCACCGGCUAACUACGUG